rnacentral:lncRNA from 1 species
CUAAAUUUUAACAAUAUAACUUAUUUAACUUAAUAACUUAAAUUAUUUUUUAGUAAAUAUAAUAUUUUAAAAAAUAAUUAAAACAAAAAAAAGUUAAAUUUAGAUAGUAUCAAGCAAACAUUAGGAGCUUAGUUUAAAAUCAAGGGAUAAUUGCCUAUAUACCCCUCAUGCGUCUGGAAAUAUCCGAUUUAUCUCUAUUUUUUUUUUUCUUUCUAAAAUACCCCUCAUAUGUUUCGCCGUUAUUCCAAAAUACCCCCGCAGUUAUUCCCUGUUAGUUUAACUCGAAUUAAACAUGGGUUAAAUAUAUACCAGAGUUAAAACCUAAUAAAAAUAUCUAUUUUGCCCCUACCUUAUUAAACUAUUUUCUUAAAUUAUCCUCUCUUUCUCUCCCAACUUAUUAUCUCUCUCCCAACUUGGGUCCCCGCCGCCCGUCGCCCGUCGCCGCUAGCGCCAGCAGCUCACCACCGCCGCCAACCUCGGCGCCGGCUCCUCCGCCUCCACCUUCGCCCCCAAGAAGCCUCGCCUCAUUCGCACAAAAAAAAUAGCCCGCGAGUCGCCGCUCUCGUCGUCGUCGUCGUCCUCCUCCUCCUCCGC